rnacentral:lncRNA from 1 species
CUCUACAGCGCGAAUCCUCCCCCUUCAAGGUUGUUUGACGCCGCCUCAGCUCCCACCCUGCCCAGGCCCCUCCCUGCAGGCUGCCUCCUGCCCCACUGUGCGGAGUUUCCGCCAGCUGAGCACUACCCCCACCCAACCCCGCACCUGGAGUCCCUGAAGACAGAGAAUGGGGUCGCUGUAUAAGCCGGGUGUGUAUCCCGAUGACGGCAGGAUGGAAGACAGCAGCUUCACUAACUGAGCAAGAAUGAUCCGGUCUGGGCUCUUGAUUCACUGGGAUCCCUCCCUCCGCGUGUUCCUGAGCCUGACAGGCCCGGGGCAAUGGGGAGUGGGAAGCCCUGUAGGACAAGGUUAACUAGGGCUCCGCCCCCCCCCCCCAGACCCCUGCACUGCCCGGCCUGCAGCCUCGAGUUCCCAGGCCCCCACAGCGCCCAUUCCUAACAGGCUGUGCCAGCUGCUUGCCGGGCACCAGCGAAAAAAGGACUUUCUUUGCCUCGGUGAAACUUGGGUUAUGACACACGCCCACCGACAGGUCCUUGAAACAGGCAGAGUGACCUUCUUCCAGGAGCUCAACUCUCUCGAUGUUGACACUUUGCUAAGGGCAACGGGCAAUCAUAGCCCGACCCCCAGGACCCUUAAGUCUACUUUAACAUACAAAAAUUCUUUUGCAAACUUCCUUCAUCUCUGCCCCCCAAGAUACAUAUUGGCAAUCACCCCCACGCAUGGGACCCACCGAUAUACAUCUGAGGGGUCUCAUGACCGAGUUUUUAUGAAACAGUAAUACAUGACCUUCUCCUGACAAUAGCUGCCCCCUCCGGGUCCUGGAAACCCUGCUUGCAGAAUACCUGGGAGGCUUGUGCUGUCCCUAACCCCCUCCCAACUUGAGAGUAUAUAAUGGGCCACUCCUCCUGACCCCCGUGCUUCUGCUUCUCUUUCUGCCCACGGGUCCUGCCCCCGUGCUUUAAUAAAACCACCUUUUUGCACCA